GUUAGAGUUAUUGCUGCCUGAGUUAUAACAGCUGCCCUGGGAAUCUUGUCUGAACAACAAGUUAACUGCUGUUCCCAGUUAUAUCUGGUCUUUCCCACCCCCAAACAUACACAAAAGAUUUUUGUCAUUCUUGGCACUGGACAACAGAAGUGAUAAGACAUGCCAGCAGAACUCUAAAGGCAGAAUGUCCUUCCACCUGUUUUAUGCUGUAAGACAAACUUCCAAGUGCGAGGCAGUGUGGAGGGCUGUUGCCUUGAAUGGCAGCUGAAUGCACCAGCGGGAUCCUUGGCAGCAAUGCCCAGGCACUGAAGUCGGGCAUUCAGGAGAGCUAAAUGGAGAAAAGAAACUUGAGCAAACUGCUUCCUGGAACACUGAGAACCUGAAUGGGAAAUUAAGAAGAACCAGAUUCUUUCUAUUCUUCCACCAGCCAAGGUGAUGAGCACAAAAGGAUCCAUCUUAUACAGUGCUUGCCAGCUUCCAUAAUACUACUCACCACGAUGUUGAAAUCACCUGUUCCAGAACCAGUCCUGUCCUUUGACAAGAAGGAUUUAAUUAUCAGUAGUGGUGGGGACUGGCUGGAGAGAGGAAAAACACUUCAAGGACUCUGCCACCUUUCGUAGAUGGAGAGUGCAAAGUUUGUACCAUGGAACUCCUUCUCUAACAGUUACUCUGUGGCAGUGCCUAUUUCAAACCUCCCUUAACUUCUGAUUGUAUAGAUGUUUGUUUCAUUUGUUCAUCUGUUUGUUCACUUAGUCAGAGAUGUUUUAAGCCUUAAGAGAAAUAGUGGACUAGAAAAUGCCUUGGAAAAGUACAAAGUUCAAUCCAAGUAAACUGUUUUUAAACUAGGAAUUUAUGAAGCCUAAAAUAUAAAAUGUAUAUACAUGGAUAUGCUCUGAAGUGAGGUAGAGGGGUAGAAAUCAACAUUGUGAUAUUGUACUAUAGUUUUGCAAGAUGUUACCAUUGGGGGAAAAUGUUUGAAGGGUAUACGGGAUAUCUCUGCCUUAUUUCUUACAACUGCAUGUGAAUCUACAGUUAUCUCAAAAUAAAAAUUUAAUUAACAAUUGAUUACAAUUAA
rnacentral:lncRNA from 1 species